GGACAUGCAGUAAAAGGUUUUACAUUUUGAUUGCAGAUCGGAAAUAUGGGGUUCAAUUCCUCCUUGUCUC
rnacentral:tRNA from 1 species